CACAUGCCAAGGGUUGCAUGUAGCAGCGAGGCAGCUGCUGGCUCCCUCAGUGGGGGAAGCAGCCAUAAGGCACGGAGGCUGCAGAGAUGGCCUGAGAUCAUCCCAAGCACUCAGCGGACAUGCACGUCAGAGACCAAUUAUAGGCUGGGUUUUUCCUGAGCAAAGAGGAAGUUCUAAAUUACAGUGCCAGCAAACCGAGCGAUAUCCAGAAGGAGAUUUAGAUGCUCACCCUGCCCUUGAAAGGAGCAGAAGGGUAAGAUGUCUGUUUUACAGCUAUCACCACACUCAGUUGCCUCUUCAUCAGUUGGGUAUGGGGUGGUGGUCUCUUCGCUCUUCAAAGUGGGCACCAGCGUCUCUGCAGUGGGCUUCACAUCUGCAAAACAGGGAGUAGAGAUGUUGUGUGCAAUAGGUGGUACAAGAAGGCCAGGUAAUGGGAAACAAAGCAAAAAGUCUUUUUCUCAUGUUCUUGUAAUGGCAGGAAGACAGGACAAGAGUACCACAAAACUUCCGUACGCUACAAAUGUCAGUGUGGUUUGAACUUGGUGUGAACUGGCUGUUUCCAUAGGGGGGGUUCCUUUGAUUUAGAGUCCCUGUUGGACAGUGCUCGCCUCCAGACAUACAUGCUACUUUCUUUCUUCAUUUUUUAAUCUACACGGGUGUUGGCAGUCCUCUUGGCUGUAGUUACUGGAUAACAGAGAUCACAGGCAGAACAUCUCUUCCUUCAUAAAGGCAUAUGACACACGAAAAACACACACGCAACAUUCCCACCAGUUGUGCCAAUUUAUAAAACAAGUCACUCAAACCCACAAAUGACGUAACCACAAGCGGACCCAGAGAAUCCCCUGGUGUGCUCUGGCUCACUGCAGAAAGCAUCUGGUUUCACACUCCAGGCUCCUGACUACGCUUUUAAAGUGUCUCUGUCCAAUCUCCCUCUCUCCAACAUGGCCCGUGUGAAACAACCUCAAAGCAGGUGUCAGGGGAAAUUUAACCAAGAAAGAGAAGGAUAUUAAGAUCAACAGUAAACGACAUUAGAUUUCAGCAGGCUCUCCUUUUACGGGUGCGCUAACUGGAGUACAGCAGCCUUUAUUCUUUCCUCUUUCAAAAAGAGGCUGCUUUGCUCACUUGUGUGUGAUUGUGUUGCUUUGUCGGCACCCUUCAGGAUAUCAUUUAAUAAAGCCAGAAGCAGGAGGAAAUGGCUAAAUACAUUGAAUAUUUUCCAUAGGCUCCUUUCUGCCCUUUUAUUUUCCUGUUAUUAAACAUGCUGCACAGAGACUCAGGUUUUUUUUCCCUUUUUUUUCCCGGUGGUUGUCUUUUGUUCAAAGUAAAAUACCAAAUAACCUCAAAGUCUUUUAAUUUGUAAGUUCAAAUUUGUUACAACCCCAUAAAACUCCAAACACAACCAAGAAGCAAAUUGCAAGCAGCCAGGCACAGAAAAAUGUCAUAAAAAAGAAGGGGGGUGAGGGGGAGAAAGCAGCAGGUGAAGGCAACGUAUCAAAAGCUGCAUGUUAUUUAGAGCCGGUACAUUUUUUAGGUUGUUGUUCUUGUAUAUUGAGAUUUAUAGCUGAAAUGUGACAAUGUGGAAGGACCUUGAAAGCCAAGUCCCAUACGGGAUACAGAUGCUGAGAGGAUGUAAAUCAGCAGUGUUGCAUUGCCCCAGACAAGCCGCAGAAAUAUAUCUUGAAAAAUCAGUUACCAUGGCAGAGCCGCAACAAGAUGGUUACAUGAGAUAAUGAAAAUAGCAGGGAGGACAAUGCGACGUGUGAAAUGGAAAGUGAAAAACAGUGGUCUCUUGCUCGCUUUCUCUCUCCCUGGCCCAGCAAGUGUCUGUGCAACUGGUGGUAACGGAUGAUCAAAAUGCAAAGUCACCGAGCAAUUGAAACCAGAUGUUUGGAACUUCAAAGGAGAGAAGACCAGCUGCAAGUGAACAUUCAUCAAUCUCCACUCUUCAGAGGAAAAAAAUUGGCAGGUCUUUGAAAGAAGCCUAUUGCAGACUGCUUGCUUCACUGUGUUUGAGCUACUAGCCAACUAGUUUACAGGCCUGGUUGCUGCCAAGUUACCUGGUUGAUUCUGUAAUUAAGAUGCUCGUUGCUGAUAAGAAAUGAAAACAGCUGGGCAGGGCACACAUUGGCUUUGGCCCUCAUUUGAAAAUAUUCUUAAUCAGCUUGCUUUAAUCCAUCUCUUAAUCUUGUUUCCAAGCAAGUGCAAUUGCCUGAGUCUUCACAGCCAGUUCUGUAACACGCCUGAAUCCUCCCAGCAAAGGAGGGCUGUGUUGCCUGCAUCAGGGACCGCAUUUAGCAUGCAGAUAAAGCCAUGGGCUAUCUUUGCUCCCCAGGUUUCACUGGUGAUCUAAACACUCUUUGUAACAUGGUGAAUCCACAAGAUUACAAGCCCGGCUCUGAUUACAAAGCGGAAUGCUUGUAGAUCAAUAAAGCUAAAAAAUAUUUAUGACUUGGCAGUUGUGUUUUAAACAUUACAACGUGCAAAUGAUUAGACAGCCACACUGGGAAAUGACCAUAAAGCACCCUGCCUGGAAAAAACAUCGGCUGUCGCUGCUGAUACUGAAAUUGAACACGGACACAGCCAUAAAAGAAAAUUUGGACUAAAAAUAGGACUAGAAAUGGAGGAAGUUGCAUUUCUUUGGCUUUUUAAUCUGAGGGAGUGCUGUGGAGGGGCUGACACAGACAU